UACGUAGGGUGCAAGCGUUGUCCGGAAUUAUUGGGCGUAAAGGGCUCGUAGGCGGUCCAUCACGUCGGGAGUGAAAAGCUGGGGCUUAACCCCAGUCCUGCUUCCGAUACGGGUGGACUAGAGGUAGGCAGGGGAGAACGGAAUUCCUGGUGUAGCGGUGAAAUGCGCAGAUAUCAGGAGGAACACCGGUGGCGAAGGCGGUUCUCUGGGCCUUACCUGACGCUGAGGCGCGAAAGCUAGGGGAGCGAACAGG
rnacentral:rRNA from 1 species